rnacentral:rRNA from 1 species
AAUUCGAUUAUUAGCUAGUAGGUGUGGUAAGAGCGCACCUAGGCGACGAUCAGUAGCUGGUCUGAGAGGAUGAUCAGCCACACUGGGACUGAGACACGGCCCAGACUCCUACGGGAGGCAGCAGUGGGGAAUUUUCCGCAAUGGGCGAAAGCCUGACGGAGCAAUACCGCGUGAGGGAGGAAGGCUCUUGGGUUGUAAACCUCUUUUCUCAAGGAAGAACACAAUGACGGUACUUGAGGAAUAAGCAUCGGCUAACUCCGUGCCAGCAGCCGCGGUAAUACGGAGGAUGCAAGCGUUAUCCGGAAUGAUUGGGCGUAAAGCGUCCGCAGGUGGCUAUGUAAGUCUGCUGUUAAAUAGUGAGGCUCAACCUCAUAAAGGCAGUGGAAACUACAUGGCUAGAGUGCGUUCGGGGCAGAGGGAAUUCUUGGUGUAGCGGUGAAAUGCGUAGAGAUCAGGAAGAACACCGGUGGCGAAAGCGCUCUGCUAGGCCGCAACUGACACUGAGGGACGAAAGCUAGGGGAGCGAAUGGGAUUAGAUACCCCAGUAGUCCUAGCCGUAAACGAUGGAUACUAGGCGUGGCUUGUAUCGACCCGAGCCGUGCCGUAGCUAACGCGUUAAGUAUCCCGCCUG